UACAGGGGGGGCAAGCGUUGUUCGGAAUUACUGGGCGUAAAGGGCCAGUAGGCGGCCAACUAAGUCCGACGUGAAAUCCCCAAGCUUAACUUGGGAACUGCGUCGGAUACUGGAUGGCUUGAAUUCGGGAGAGGGAUGCAGAAUUCCAGGUGUAGCGGUGAAAUGCGUAGAGAUCGGAAAGAACACCAACGGCGAAAGCACUCUGCUGGGCCGACACUGACACUGAGAGACGAAAGCUAGGGGAGCGAAUGGG
rnacentral:rRNA from 1 species